AUUAUGGAGAGUUUGAUCCUGGCUCAGGAUGAACGCUGGCGGCAGGCUUAAUACAUGCAAGUCGAACGGUAACACUGGUAGCAAUACCUGGUGACGAGUGGCGCACGGGUGCGUAACGCGUAUGCAACCUACCCAUAAUUGGAACAUAACGUUGAGAAAUCGGCGCUAAUAUUCCAUGUGAAUGAGAUAUGGCAUCAUAUUUUAUUUAAAGAUUUAUUGAUUAUGGAUGGGCAUGCGUAUCAUUAGCUAGUUGGUAGGGUAAUGGCUUACCAAGGCGACGAUGAUUCGGGGUUCUGAGAGGAUAUCCCCCCACACUGGAACUGAGACACGGUCCAGACUCCUACGGGAGGCAGCAGUAGGGAAUAUUGGGCAAUGGAGGCAACUCUGACCCAGCCAUGCCGCGUGAAGGAAGACUGUCCUAUGGAUUGUAAACUUCUUUUAUCAUAGAGUAACCUGGGGUACGUGUACUCCACUGCAAGUAUAUGAUGAAUAAGCACCGGCUAACUCCGUGCCAGCAGCCGCGGUAAUACGGAGGGUGCAAGCGUUAUCCGGAUUUAUUGGGUUUAAAGGGUGCGCAGGCGGACCGGUAAGUCAGAGGUGAAAUCUUGCUGCUUAACAGCA
rnacentral:rRNA from 1 species